UUGCACGUAGCCUCCCGGGCUCAUCUGAGUUUAUAUAGUGAAGUUAGAAGCCCCAAAGCUCGUGCUAAAUUUAAUCGCCGCUAGUGUUGCAGUUUAGCCCUUUGUACCUUCUAUUCAUGGCUAAUUUGUGUCAAAUCAACGGCAAAAUCC
rfam:Solanum tuberosum cultivar DM 1-3 516 R44 scf00233_34, whole genome shotgun sequence.